UAAUACGGAGGGUGCGAGCGUUGUUCGGAAUCACUGGGCGUAAAGGGCGUGUAGGCGGUCCGCUAAGUCUGAUGUGAAAGCCCGGGGCUCACCCCCGGAAGGGCAUUGGAAACUGACGGACUCGAGUCCCGAAGAGGAGGGUGGAAUUCCUGGUGUAGCGGUGAAAUGCGUAGAUAUCAGGAGGAACACCGGUGGCGAAGGCGGCCCUCUGGACGGUGACUGACGCUGAGACGCGAAAGCGUGGGGAGCAAACAGGAUUAGAUACCCUGGUAGUCCACGCUGUAAACGAUGAGCACUAGGUGUCGUGGGUAUUGACCCCCGCGGUGCCGUAGCUAACGCAUUAAGUGCUCCGCCUGGGGACUACGGCCGCAAGGCUA
rnacentral:rRNA from 1 species